rnacentral:rRNA from 1 species
UACAGAGGUCCCAAGCGUUGUUCGGAUUCACUGGGCGUAAAGGGUGCGUAGGCGGUCGGGUAAGUCUGAUGUGAAAUCUCACAGCUUAACUGUGAAACUGCAUUGGAUACUAUCCGGCUAGAGGAAUGGAGGGGGGGCUGGAAUUCUCGGUGUAGCAGUGAAAUGCGUAGAUAUCGAGAGGAACACCAGUGGCGAAGGCGAGUCCCUGGACAGGUCCUGACGCUGAGGCACGAAAGCUAGGGGAGCAAACAGG